rnacentral:rRNA from 1 species
UGGGGAAUCUUGGGCAAUGGGCGCAAGCCUGACCCAGCAACGCCGCGUGGGUGAUGAAGGUCUUCGGGUCGUAAAGCCCUGUCGGGAGGAACGAACGUUCUCGGGGUGAACAAUCCCGAGAAGUGACGGUACCUCCAAAGGAAGCACCGGCUAACUCUGUG